GAGUGAUCGAAAGAUGAAAAGCACUUUGGAAAGAGAGUUAAAAAGCACGUGAAAUUGUUGAAAGGGAAGCGCUUGCAGCCAGACUUGCCUGUAGUUGCUCAUCCGGGUUUUUACCCGGUGCACUCUUCUAUAGGCAGGCCAGCAUCAGUUUGGGCGGUUGGAUAAAGGUCUCUGUCAUGUACCUCUCUUCGGGGAGAACUUAUAGGGGAGACGACAUGCAACCAGCCUGGACUGAGGUCCGCGCAUCUGCUAGGAUGCUGGCGUAAUGGCUGUAAGCGGCCC
rnacentral:rRNA from 1 species